rnacentral:rRNA from 1 species
UACGUAGGGGCUAGCGUUGUCCGGAAUCAUUGGGCGUAAAGCGCGUGUAAGCGGCCCGGUAAGUCCGCUGUGAAAGUCGGGGGCUCAACCCUCGGAUGCCGGUGGAUACUGUCGGGCUAGAGUGCGGAAGAGGCGAGUGGAAUUCCUGGUGUAGCGGUGAAAUGCGCAGAUAUCGAGGAACACCAAUUGCGAAGGCAGCUCGCUGGGACGUUACUGACGCUGAGACGCGAAAGCGUGGGGAGCAAACAGG